rnacentral:rRNA from 1 species
GAUGAACGCUGGCGGCGUGCCUAAUACAUGCAAGUAGAACGCUGAAGGAAGGAGCUUGCUCUUUCCGGAUGAGUUGCGAACGGGUGAGUAACGCGUAGGUAACCUGCCUGGUAGCGGGGGAUAACUAUUGGAAACGAUAGCUAAUACCGCAUAACAGUAGAUGUUGCAUGAUAUCUACUUAAAAGGUGCAAUUGCUCCACUACCAGAUGGACCUGCGUUGUAUUAGCUAGUUGGUGAGGUAACGGCUCACCAAGGCGACGAUACAUAGCCGACCUGAGAGGGUGAUAGGCCCAACUGGGACUGAGGAACGGCCCAGAAUCCUACGGGAGGCAGCAGUAGGGAAUCUUCGGCAAUGGACGGAAGGCUGACCGAGCAACGCCGCGUGAGUGAAGAAGGGUUUCGGAUCGGAAAGCUCUGUUGUAAGAGAAGAACGAGUGGGAGAGUGGAAAGUUCACACUGUGACGGUAUCUUACUAGAAAGGGACGGCUAACUACGUG